GUCGAAUAUUUAAUGGGAAGUGAAAUAAUAGACAUAUUUCUGAAAAUUUGAUAAUUGUUAGUUAGCAACUACGUUACGUAAUCAAGCCGCUGCUUAUGUCGUCACUAUGGAAUAAUGACACAAGGAGAUCAAUGGAUUACACUGGCUCUCUUAUUCUACAAAACAAGAAUUCUACGACUUGAAGAGAUACAUCUUAAGAAGUCAGCGUU